rnacentral:rRNA from 1 species
GACGAACCGUGCGAACGUUGUUCGGAAUCACUGGGCUUAAAGGGCGCGUAGGCGGAUCAUCAAGUCAGGGGUGAAAUCCCACGGCUCAACCGUGGAAGUGCCUUUGAUACUGAUGGUCUGGAGUGGGGUAGGGGCAUGCGGAACUGGUGGUGGAGCGGUGAAAUGCGUAGAUAUCACCAGGAACGCCGGUGGCGAAAGCGGCGUGCUGGACCCCAACUGACGCUGAUGCGCGAAAGCCAGGGGAGCAAAC